rnacentral:rRNA from 1 species
AACGAACGCUGGCGGCAUGCCUAACACAUGCAAGUCGAACGAGACCUUCGGGUCUAGUGGCGCACGGGUGCGUAACGCGUGGGAACCUGCCCUUAGGUUCGGAAUAACUCCCCGAAAGGGGUGCUAAUACCGGAUAAUGUCUUCGGACCAAAGAUUUAUCGCCUUUGGAUGGGCCCGCGUUGGAUUAGCUAGUUGGUAGGGUAAAAGCCUACCAAGGCGACGAUCCAUAGCUGGUCUGAGAGGAUGAUCAGCCACACUGGGACUGAGACACGGCCCAGACUCCUACGGGAGGCAGCAGUGAGGAAUAUUGGACAAUGGGCGAAAGCCUGAUCCAGCAAUGCCGCGUGAGUGAUGAAGGCCUUAGGGUUGUAAAGCUCUUUUACCUGGGAUGAUAAUGACAGUACCGGGAGAAUAAGCUCCGGCUAACUCCGUG